AUACGUAGGUGACAAGCGUUAUCCGGAUUUACUGGGCGUAAAGGGCGUGUAGGCGGUCUUGCAAGUCAGAAGUGAAAUUCCUGAGCUCAACUCGGGCGCUGCUUCUGAAACUGCAGGACUUGAGUGCUGGAGGGGAUAGCGGAAUUCCUAGUGGAGCGGUAAAAUGCGCAGAUAUUAGGAAGAACACCGGUGGCGAAGGCGGCUAUCUGGACAGUAACUUGCGCUGAGGCGCGAAAGCGUGGGGAGCAAACAGGAUUAGAUUCCCUGGUAGUCCACGCUGUAAACGAUGAUUACUAUGUGUUGGGGACCUAUAGUUCUUCGGUGCCGCAGCAAACGCAAUAAGUAAUCCGCCUGGGGAGUACGUUCGCAAGAAUG
rnacentral:rRNA from 1 species